AAGUCGUAACAAGGUUUCCGUAGGUGAACCUGCGGAAGGAUCAUUAACACGUAUCCAAACGUUAACCCCCCUGUGAACCUUCAAUGUGCUCGUACACUUUGUCAAAGCGAGGCAAUCCCUGGUAAAUCAUCGCCGAACAGUUUUGAUUCUGGGACUUCCUCAAAGAGUGUGCAUGUUGCGCGAGGCAAGUGGCCUGGCAUUCCCAAGCAGUUAAUGUCUGAAAGUGUCAUUAGCUGUGUAAGGAUGACGCAGUAACGAUCGUUGGAGGCCGACACGGCCGACGACCGGGCACUUAAUGCAUGACAGACGCGCCAGCGCUUAAUUGUGCGGCGACCAAAAACCGAACAACUGUUAACAAUGGAUAUCUUGGUUCUC
rnacentral:misc_RNA from 1 species